rnacentral:rRNA from 1 species
GACGAACGCUGGCGGCGUGCUUAACACAUGCAAGUCGAACGGAAAGGCCCUGCUUUUGUGGGGUGCUCGAGUGGCGAACGGGUGAGUAACACGUGAGUAACCUGCCCUUGACUUUGGGAUAACUUCAGGAAACUGGGGCUAAUACCGUAUAGGAGCUCCUGCUGCAUGGUGGGGAUUGGAAAGUUUCGGCGGUUGGGGAUGGACUCGCGGCUGAUCAGCUUGUUGGUGGGGUAGUGGCUUACCAAGGCUUUGACGGGUAGCCGGCCUGAGAGGGUGACCGGCCACAUUGGGACUGAGAUACGGACCAGACUCCUACGGGAGGCAGCAGUGGGGAAUAUUGCACAAUGGGAGGAAGCCUGAUGAAGAAACGCCGCGUGCGGGAUGACGGCCUUCGGGUUGUAAACCGCUUUAGCCUGUGACGAAGCGUGAGUGACGGUAAUGGGUAAAGAAGCACCGGCUAACUACGUG